rnacentral:rRNA from 1 species
UACGGGGGGGGCAAGCGUUGUUCGGAAUUACUGGGCGUAAAGGGCUCGUAGGUGGCCAACUAAGUCAGACGUGAAAUCCCCAGGCUUAACCUGGGAACUGCGUCUGAUACUGGAUGGCUUGAAUUCGGGAGAGGGAUGCAGAAUUCCAGGUGUAGCGGUGAAAUGCGUAGAUAUCUGGAGGAAUACCGGUGGCGAAGGCGGCAUCCUGGACCGAGAUUGACGCUGAGGAGCGAAAGCCAGGGGAGCAAACAGG